AUGACGUUGAACGCAAGCUCCGGGGCCGUUGAUCGGACUCCGACAACGGUUGACCGGGCUCCGGCCACCGUUGACUGGCUCCAACAAAAGAUAGGGGAUCUACUAGGGGCAGUAGAAGAGUCUACUGAGGGCAGUAGGAGUGCUGGGAGGUUGGAGGAUACUUGGUCAAUGAUUAAUGAGAUGAGGAGGAAGAGGUUUCGGCUGAGCUCGUUUGUGUAUAGUAAGGUUAUUGGUCUGUAUAGGGACAAUGGGAUGUGGAAGAAGGCGGUGGACAUUGUGGAAGAGAUAAGGGAAAUGGGGAUGGCAUUGGACAAACAGAUUUACAACAGCAUUAUCGAUACGUUUGGGAAGUAUGGGGAGUUGGAUGAAGCUUUGGAAGUGUUUGGGAGAAUGAAAGAAGAAGGUGUGAGGCCUGAUAUUUCGACCUUUAAUUCGUUGAUAAGGUGGCACUGCAAGUCUGGGUUGUUAAGGAAGGCCCUCGAGUUGUUUACUGAGAUGCAAGAACAAGGAUUAUAUCCUGACCCGAAAAUAUUUGUUACUAUUAUCAGUAGAUUGGGGGAGCAAGGGAAGUGGGAUAUGAUACGGAGGACCUUUGAGAAUAUGAGAAGCCGUGGGCAUAAAAAAAGUGGGACUAUUUAUGCUGCUCUCGUUGACAUUUAUGGGCAAUAUGGAAAAUUUCAGGACGCAGAAGAGUGUAUAUCUGCACUACAGGCAGAAGGUCUUGUUAUCUCUGCCAGUAUGUUUUGUGUAUUAGCAAAUGCAUACGCCCAGCAGGGAUUAUGUGAUCAGACAGUUAAAGUACUUCAGCUCAUGGAAGCUGAGGGAAUUGAACCAAAUGUUAUAAUGCUGAAUGUUUUGAUCAAUGCAUUUGGUAUUGCUGGUAGACAUUUGGAGGCUUUGUCCAUUUAUCACCAUAUAAAAGAAAGUGGUUUAAGCCCUGAUGUAGUUACGUAUACUACCCUUAUGAAGGCAUUUAUUCGAGCAAGGAAGUAUGAUAGGGUCCCUGAGAUAUACAUUGAUAUGGAACAGGCUGGAUGCACCCCAGAUAGGAAGGCCAGACAGAUGUUAGAAGUCGCUUCAUUGGCCCUUCAACAGAGGAAUUGAGAGUUCUCUGAUAUGGCUGUUGAAUCCAACUUUAUAAAUGGUGAAACUUCCAGCAGGUGA